rnacentral:rRNA from 1 species
GAUGAACGCUAGCUACAGGCUUAACACAUGCAAGUCGAGGGGCAGCAUGAACUUAGCUUGCUAAGUUUGAUGGCGACCGGCGCACGGGUGAGUAACACGUAUCCAACCUGCCGAUGACUCGGGGAUAGCCUUUCGAAAGAAAGAUUAAUACCCGAUGGCAUAGUUCUUCCGCAUGGUAGAACUAUUAAAGAAUUUCGGUCAUCGAUGGGGAUGCGUUCCAUUAGGUUGUUGGCGGGGUAACGGCCCACCAAGCCUUCGAUGGAUAGGGGUUCUGAGAGGAAGGUCCCCCACAUUGGAACUGAGACACGGUCCAAA